GCAAGUUCCCACUUUUCUACAUCCUCACCAAUUCUGGGCCAUGAAACCCAACAUUAAGAAAGUAACAAAAAUGGACCCAGCCAGGAACUCUCUGGAGACAGAACAGGUGCUUAGUGCUGAGGCCGUCCACCUUGCUGUACACCCAGAACUCCCCUCCUGCUUCUCCUGAGGGCAUGUGGAGAGAUUUACCCGCAGUACCAGCCUCAUGGAGAUGAGACUAUCCAGGCCCGAGUGGUCCAGCUGAAAGCGCUGCUCCAGGGUGAGGUCAGCAGAGGGGAGGAUCUGGCAGAGGGGAAGCUCCAACACUCCCAGAGCAUACUCCUGGUUGUCAUCAAGCACCUGGAGAGUGGGCCAAUCACAAAAUAAGAGGAGAACUAAGCUCUUCUGCCCCUAUCCCUACUAUCUAGAUCCCAACUGAGUCUAGGUCAGUCAGUCAGUAUGCACUGUGCUGCUACUGGCAUCUGGUCCUGUUCUGGGAACUGGGAAGGAAAAAUGAACCAGACCAGACCUGGUCCCUGCCCUAAAUCUGGUGAUGAGGGUUCCAGGCAAUUAUGAUCUGUCUCAGGCCAGUGUAUUAAAUGUCCAGGGGCAUGGAGGCUCUAGGAUAGAAGAGCUGUGCUGCUCCAAGAUGGGACAUCCAGACAGGGCUUCUGGCCCCAACAUGGAAGGCAUGAAGAGAGUCUCAGAAGAUCCCAGUGCCACCAUGUUAGUCAGGAGAUGUUGGACAAGUUAUUGUUCGAGCUUCUCUUUGCUAAUGUAUAAAAUAGAAAAUAGUGUAAAAUAGAAAAUAGCUGUCUUCUACAGAUCUUCUGUGAGGAUCAAAUGAAAUUUAUUUUUUUUAAUAAAGUACAUCAUCUUCACUGCCUGGGUAGAUUCCAGCAUAGGAAUGUUAUGAAACAACUGGAAAGGCCCUUUUGCAGGGAGAGAGCUUCCUACCCAAUGACCUUGGGCCCUAAUCUCAUGGAGGUGUAGCCUUGUAGGAUCUCGGUAUCCCCUCCUGCACACGGGCUGACCUUAGGUACUGUCAAGAGAGCCUGGUCAAAGUGCAGUUGAAGCUUCCCACUCCCCUGGGCCCAGAUACCCCUGAACUUUGUUCCAAGAACCCAACCUAAAGCAGACCUUCAGAUGGAGCUGUUCAGCUGCCACAUUGUGUAAAAAGAAGGAGAACACCUGGUUCCAUACAGGGUCCUUGCUGUGGGGACAGAUCUGGGGAAAGAGGAAUUAGAGAUCACCAAAGGGUCGGGUUGGGCAAAGUUGGAUACUGGCACCCUCUGUUCUCACCCUGGCCACUACAGACACCAUUGGGAGCCUUCUCUGUGGCUGCCCAAAAAUCAGAACCACACACACUGCUGCCCAUGGGAGACCUAGGGCCAGGCAGCCAGACUCAAGGCAAGGAAUGCUUUGCUAGGAAGCUCUACAAGGACAAAAAUCACAUUAGCAUUAGAGUUCAGUUUUAGGAUUCGGGGGCGGGGAGCAACAGGAUUUCUCCUGCUGGACUGAGAAACUUCAUGGCAUGGUGGGAAGGACACAGGUUUGAGAGCCAGGCCUGGGCUUAAACCCUAGCUCUACUGCUUUCUAGCAUAUGACCUUAGGCAAGUCACUUAUCUAAUUGAUCCUCAGAUUCUUGAACUGUAAAACUUUGGUGAGGUUAUGCAAGGACCAAAUAAUAUAAAGUGGCACCUACUAGGCUUUCAAUGCAAACUAAUUUCCUUUCCUUUCUCUCCCCAAGUCUACACACCUCAGCUAUCUUACCUUGCUUGUAUGUGUCUUCUUGCCUACAGACAGCCUGACAUAGGAAGAAGGGUCUCUGCUGACCUUAUUCUAUGAGAAGGAAAAAUCCACAACAAUGAAGGUGGCACCAUCAGUAUUAGCUUGAGACAUUCACCCACACACAUCCCAGAGACCUGGGGCCAGCCAAUAGUUUCCAUUUGAGAAAAGGCUGCCAUGAUGUUCCUCAGCCCGCUUGGCUGCCAUCACUGUUCAAAUACCAAGACAGGGUUGACCCCAGGGGGAGAUUCCAUUAAAUACCAGAGGCCGGCACUGGGCCUCAAUGGGCUCUUGUUCUCUGGGGCCCAGAGCACGCACUAUUGAACCAGACAGGGAAGAGUCAAAUACUGGCUCCUUCUCUUGGGUGAAUGAUCCAGGCCCUUAACCUUCUGGCUCCUAUUUGUAAAAUGGCAAUAAAAACUACUGACAGUCAUCAUGAAAGUCAGGGAUAACAAAUGGGGGGCGAGCUGCCAAGCCCAGUGCCUAGCACACAGUAGACAAUGAACAGCAACUCUUGUUAUCCUCGGGCUAUGUGCACAGACCAUGGCCCAGAAAAAUGGGGCUGUGGUUUCUCUAGGGAGAAGAUGCCAUGACUUGCCUUCAGUUAAGUUUUCAGCCAUACACACUUACCUUGGCAAACCUGGAGAGUUUUUUGGCUCGAUAUUCACCAUUCAGGUAGUCAAAGGGGCUUCUCUGUAGCACAAGAAUAAUGACUAAAUGAGCAUUUGAAAGUGAAGCGCAUGAGGCAGGGUCUGUGUGACACUCUGGCCAUGUCACCACUCACCGGCAGGUUGCAGGCGCUCUCCAGGAAGACCACAAGGAUGGCAGUGGAGAGGCUGCCAUGCUCCUGCAAGAAGAUACAGACCAACACUGGGUGCCUCCAGCAGCAGGAGAGACAUACCAGUUUUGGAGAAGCCUUCUGUGGCAGAAGGAAGCCAGCCAGCCCUAAGACUAGCCAUAAGACCUCACAAUCUAGUUACAGCAUGACAGAUUGAAGUUAGACCAAAAAAUGGAUUUCCCCAAUGAUCUGGACUGACAGGCAUUAACAGAGCUUGAAGGAUCCCAUCUUCCCUGAAGAUGGCUGAGAUGCUCAGGGGCUGUCUAUUAAGUCAGGGGCUGGAUGACAUGUUCUCCAGAAGACGGUGCUGCCAAGGACUCUAUGAGCAAGACCUGCAGGGGAGGUGGCCCCUCUCUAUCAGUUCACAGCCUAUACCUGGGCCAGCUCUGCCUCUACGGGUCCCUGACACCCCACACUCACCUCAGCCAGGGUUUUCUGGUCAGUGAUCAGUGAAAGCCACUCCAGCCGCAGGUGCAGCCGCCCACUGGUAGUGUCACUCAGAA